rnacentral:lncRNA from 1 species
AUUAUUGCUCAGCAAAGAGGAGAAUAGUUUCCUUGAAGGAAAAAAAACAUCCUUAAGAACUUACUAGUUUAAAGCUGAGCAUCUUAGAUUUGAAGGUUGCCUUACCUUUUUAAAGAUUUUUUUUAUGAGUUGAUAGAAAGUCCUAAAAUCUUAGGAACAGAAACAAUUGAGAAUUACAAGUCAAAUCAUUGAAAUGGAGCCAUCUGACAGUUUAUGUGUUCUGCUGUGCCAGUAGUGAGUGGGAACAGUUUCUAUGUGGGAAUAUAAUCAGGGUCCUGACUACCCCUAAAGGAGCUCUUUCUUGUUUGGUGUGAAGCCAAUACACCAAACCGAGAGUGAGUAUCAAACAGUGUGGGCUUUUUUCAAUGGCCAUGGAAUUGCAGAAGUGGGAGCAUAGCCUGCAAAUCAACUUCUCAGAGCCUGAGAACUGAGGAUUCUUAAUGAAGGGGCUGGGUAUACAGAGGAAAGGGAGAAAUAUUCAUAGCUUUUCUUGGGAAGGGAGGUAGGUUUUUUUGGAAUCAAAGAGCCACCUCUUUUCUGCCUGUUUUUGGUCUCUUCUGGCCAUUGUCAUGGUGAUUGUCAACUGUCAAGGUGCCAGUGGGAGUGUCAUUUAGCAUGGAAAUUGGAUCAUAAUGAAGCUAGAGGUUUUUCAGAGGUCAAGCUGCCAUUGCGGAUUUUGCCAGCUUCAGCCAGUUUAGUCCUAAGAAGGAACUUCUGACCCCAGACAUCCUGUUUUCUAAAACUAAGCAGUUAAAGCUGAAUGGGAAUUUAGCUCUGUCACAUAGGCAUUUGUUGGGCAACAAAAGCAGGGUAGGGCUCCAGCUAAGCCACGUAGGCACUACGAUGGGCAACAGAAAGGUUGGUUUCUGGGCAAUUCAGAGAAACCAAGGACAGCUACCCCCAGAACUCAGAGUAGCCAACUGGGCUGCUCACAGGAGAUGCCUUAACUGAAAGGUGAUCAGACUCCACAGGAGACCCAGAGAAGAUGUGGAGGGAGCUCAGAGGCUGUCCUGGAGGAGACGUGGAGACAGCUCAGAGGCUGUCCCAGAGAAGACGUGGAAAGAGCUCAGAGGCUGUCCCAGAGAAGACGUGGAGAGCUCAGAGGAUGUCCCAGAGAAGACGUGGAGAGAGUUCAGAGGCUGUCCCGGAGAAGACGUGGAAAGAGCUCAGAAACUCAGAGACUGUCCCGGAGAAGACAUGGAAACAGCUCAGACGCUGUCUGCAAGAAGAUGUGGAGAGAGUUCAGAGGCUGUCGUUACUGCUGCACUUGGCUGUUUUUCUUUGGAUAAUUAUUGCAAUCAAUUUUAGUAAUUCAGGUGUUAAAUCACAGUCAAGCACCUAUUUACCUAGUGAAUCUAGAUUGUAUUUGUCUUUGGAAACAGUCACAGCCACUUCCAGAGGUCAUUUCCCAUAGACCCCAAACUUCUCUUCUCCCAGCCUUGGAGGUGCUGGGUUCUAGAAGGAGGAGGCAGUGAGUCCAGAAGCCCAGCCAUAUCAGGAUGACAUCUACCAUGCAUCAGUCCUCGUGUGUCUUCAGCGCCUCUUUCACAUGUCUGUGUCCUUAGAGCUUGCUGGAACCAUCUUUGCUUGUCUCUGUGUAUUCUGAGUCUGUGACUAUUUGGCUCUAGGAGUCUUCUCAACAAAGUACAAUUUCUGUUGUCUUUUUCCAAAAAACUUUAUGAAUAAAAUGAAAAUAUGAGUAAUAUAAAAUCAAAAUAUAUUUUGAUUUCUCAUUUCAAAAUUAUCUACCUCUGUAGUUUAAUAGAACUCAAUUAUU